rnacentral:misc_RNA from 1 species
GAUGAAGAACGUAGCGAAAUGCGAUAAGUAAUGUGAAUUGCAGAUUUCAGUGAAUCAUCGAAUCUUUGAACGCACCUUGCGCCUUGUGGUAUUCCACAAGGCAUGCCCGUUUGAGUAUCAUUGAAUCAUCAACUCUAAAACCUUUGUGGUUUUUUUUAGAGCUUGGUCUUGAGGGUUUUGCAGGCUUUUUUUUUUUUUUCGAGUCUGCUCCCUUUAAAUGCAUUAGCGAGACUUCCCUAUGCUGAACCGUCUCUUUGACGUGAUAAUUAUCUGCGUCGAAUUUUGGUUCUCGUUGGGCUUGCUUCUAAUCGUCUGUUAAAGACAAAACGGAUUUGGGUGCAUAUAUGCGCCUUUUUCCAAAACCUUUUUUUGAUCUCAAAUCGGGUAGGACUACCCGCUGAACUUAAGCAUAUCAAUAAGCGGAGGA